AAUAUUUCAGCAAUUCUCUAGUUUUAUGCGUCAAGUAUUCACUGAACGGCUGAUAAAAUAACUCGAAGACAGUCUUAAGUUUUGAAUAGGCAUUGCAAUGCCUACCUACAUAUAUACAAACCAUACUUAAAUAGUCUGAAAAGCUAAAG
ensembl:ncRNA F08G5.9 ncRNA